rnacentral:rRNA from 1 species
AUUGAACGCUGGCGGCAGGCCUAACACAUGCAAGUCGAGCGGAUGAAGGGAGCUUGCUCCUGGAUUCAGCGGCGGACGGGUGAGUAAUGCCUAGGAAUCUGCCUGGUAGUGGGGGAUAACGUCCGGAAACGGGCGCUAAUACCGCAUACGUCCUGAGGGAGAAAGUGGGGGAUCUUCGGACCUCACGCUAUCAGAUGAGCCUAGGUCGGAUUAGCUAGUUGGUGGGGUAAAGGCCUACCAAGGCGACGAUCCGUAACUGGUCUGAGAGGAUGAUCAGUCACACUGGAGCUGGGACACGGUCCAGACUCCUACGGGAGGCCGCAAUGGGGAAUAUUGGACAAUGGGCGAAAGCCUGAUCCAGCCGUGCCGCGUGUGUGAAGAAGGUCUUCGGAUUGUAAAGCACUUUAAGUUGGGAGGAAGGGCAGUAAGUUAAUACCUUGCUGUUUUGACGUUACCAACAGAAUAAGCACCGGCUAACUUCGUG